rnacentral:rRNA from 1 species
GAUCAUGGCUCAGGCUCUUGUACACACCGAGCCCUAGAGUUUGAUCGUGGCUCAGGUGAGUGUACACUGGGAAACUGGGUGUUGGAGGGGGGAACUACUGGAAACGGUAGCUAAUACCGCAUAACGUCGCAAGACCAAAGAGGGGGACCUUCGGGCCUCUUGCCAUCAGAUGUGCCCAGAUGGGAUUAGCUAGUAGGUGGGGUAACGGCUCACCUAGGCGACGAUCCCUAGCUGGUCUGAGAGGAUGACCAGCCACACUGGAACUGAGACACGGUCCAGACUCCUACGGGAGGCAGCAGUGGGGAAUAUUGCACAAUGGGCGCAAGCCUGAUGCAGCCAUGCCGCGUGUAUGAAGAAGGCCUUCGGGUUGUAAAGUACUUUCAGCGGGGAGGAAGGUGUUGAGGUUAAUAACCUCAGCAAUUGACGUUACCCGCAGAAGAAGCACCGGCUAACUCCGUGCCAGC